AUGGAUUUGUGGCUCAUGUGGCUUUUCCUUGUUUCUCCUUUAAAAGGUAUCCCGUGUGAAACGCAGCUGGUGGAGUCUGGGGGUGGCCUGAUACAGCCUGGGGGAUCCCUGAGACUCUCCUGUGCAGUCUCUGGAUUCACAUUCAGUGACUCAUGUAUAAGCUGGUUCCGACAGGCUCCAGGGAAGGGGCUGGAGUUGGCACUGGAAUGGAUUGCAAUGAGUAGAAACAAAAAUAAUGGUUGCACAACAGAUUAUAGCGCAUCUGUGAAGAGCGGGUACACCAUCUCCAGAGAGGAUUCCAAAAACAUCCUCUUCCUUCAAAUGAACAGCCUGAAAGGUGAGGACACAGCCACUUACUACUGUGCAAGAGACAGGCACAGUGAAGGGACUUCAUUGUGA